rnacentral:rRNA from 1 species
GACGAACGCUGGCGGCGUGCUUAACACAUGCAAGUCGAACGGAAAGGCCCCCACCUUGGUGGGGGUGCUCGAGUGGCGAACGGGUGAGUAACACGUGGGUGAUCUGCCCUGUACUUCGGGAUAAGCUUGGGAAACUGGGUCUAAUACCGGAUAGGACCAUGGUUUAGUGUCUCAUGGUGGAAAAAUUAUUGUUUUGGUGCAGGAUGAGCUCGCGGCCUAUCAGCUUGUUGGUGGGGUAAUGGCCUACCAAGGCGUCGACGGGUAGCCGGCCUGAGAGGGUGGACGGCCUGAUUGGGACUGAGAUACGACCCAGACUCCUACGGGAGGCAGAAGUGGGGAAUAUUGCACAAUGGGCGCAAGCCUGAUGCAGCGCGGCCGAGUGGGGGAUGACGGCCUUCGGGUUGUAAACUCCUUUCGUUAGGGACGAAGCCACACCUUUUUUGGGUGUGGUGACGGUACCUUUGUUAAGAAGCACCGGCUAACUACGUG